UUUCUUCUGCGUUGUGUGUUUUGAUAAAAAAAGAGACUUCACACAAUGAUUCGUUUGUCACGUGGUUUACUUUCAGCUUUUGACGUUUCUGUAUCAAAGUAUAACAGACACCAUCAGGUAGUAACAGAAGAAUAUCAGGUCUAGCAGUGCCUCUCAUCGUAAUGACAUCCCGCGAAAGAGAGAACAUUAAAACAUACAGUAACAUUCAUAAAAACAAAUACAAUAAUAUACGAUAGAAAAACAUACAGUAAAAGAAACCAAUACUAUAAUAAUCCACUUACAUACCUGUAUCAAAGUAUAACAGACAACAUCAGCUAGUAACAGAAGAAUAUCAGGUCUAGCAGUGCCUGUCAAUCAUUGCAUCGUGUUACAAUGUACACUUAUAUAACAGCAAAUACAUUCAAACCUCUCAUGGAUCAUUAAAGUUAAACAGACAAACUUCACGCAAUCACUAAUGUAUAAUUCAUAACUGAAUAACUCUAUUUUACUGAAGUAUGCAUUGCUAGGUUAUUAAUUCAGCAGAAUACUGCACGUGUAAUGGCAACCAUUACAUAAAUUCACACUUCGAUUAAACAUACUUUUUACAAUGUUACUAACUUGGACUAGUAAUCCCAUAAUAAAGAAAAGUUAACAAACAAACUAAUUUCGUGCAGAAAA